GCGGAGGUGGUGGAAUGGCAGACACGCUACUUUGAGGGGGUAGUGGGCAUUUGCUCGUGUGGGUUCAAGUCCCAUUCUCCGCACCA
rnacentral:tRNA from 1 species